GACAGCAGUCGCCGCGGUAAUACGAAGGGGGCUAGCGUUGUUCGGAUUUACUGGGCGUAAAGCGCACGUAGGCGGAUCGAUCAGUCAGGGGUGAAAUCCCAGAGCUCAACUCUGGAACUGCCUUUGAUACUGUCGAUCUGGAGUAUGGAAGAGGUGAGUGGAAUUCCGAGUGUAGAGGUGAAAUUCGUAGAUAUUCGGAGGAACACCAGUGGCGAAGGCGGCUCACUGGUCCAUUACUGACGCUGAGGUGCGAAAGCGUGGGGAGCAAACAGGAUUAGAUACCCGCGUAGUCCCUGUCUCUUAUAC
rnacentral:rRNA from 1 species